AACACCCUCCCAUACCUGCAUCAUCAUCAUCACACCAUCAUCAGUGUUACUACCACCAUGCAUGCUAGCUAGUUAAGUGUUGUGCAACCUUUACAUUCCUUUUCUCUCGCUUGUUCAUCGGAAGAAAAGGUUUGCACAACUCUUUAACAAGAUGCUAAACACUGUCCAAUUCAUGUUACAGCACCCCCCUCAUCAGGGAGGAAAAAAAAGGGCGUGAUAAAGCUGCUGGGACAGGACAGCAGCAUUACCUUGUGCUGUCACAUGAAAUAAUGGUACAGUACUUAAUUGCAUGGUAAGAUGACACUUGUUGCUCCUGUGUGGUUGUGGUGGUGAUACUGAUAGAAAUGUUUACUGCAUAUGAUUUUAAUUUACCUGGAGCAGUGAUCCUCCAGGAAGCUGCCCAGGGUGUUGCUAGCAUGAGGACUGAGGAACCUCAGCGUCUCACCAAGGAGAGGCCACCCAAAGCUUCCCUUGGGAGCCUUGGGAUUCAGGAGCAAAGGCAGGAAGUGGCUCAGCACCAGGGUCAGCAGCAAAGCAAGCAGGAUCACCAGAGCAGCCAGCACAAGCUCUCCUCCCACCAUCUUACCUAUAGCCUCACACCAGGCACCACCACCCCCUGCUCAUCUUAUCUCAAUCUCAUCUCACAACAAGAAGCAUGGAUGGAGCCUUGCAGCAGCUAAGCCUUAGCUUGCUAAGCUCUCUCUCUCUCUCUGCCUAUCUGUCUAUUCUACCAAGUUUCUAUCUAACCCUUUCACUAGCUUGUGCUCAACACUCUGCUUCUCUCCCUCUCCCUCCCUCUAUUUUUCUCUGGAAUGGAAGGUGAGGGGGGAGGCUAUAUAGCAGUAGAAGCAAAGGCAGGAAGGAUCUUUGCAAAGGGAGGGAGUGAUGGAAAGGGGUGAUGAGCAGGGGGGGGAGGGAAAAAAAAUAGAGGCUGCCUUUUGUUUCCUUGCUUUGGCCUUGUUUUAAAGUAGAAGUAGGGGUAUUUCUUUCUUGCAUUGUUUGAUCUCUGUUUCUCUCUGUUUUCUUUUUUUUUUUACUGCAGUGAAGUGAAUUGGCUGCAUGCAUAUACUGUGCCAGUAGUAGCUUUUAUCAAGGAGGGCUAUGAGCCUACAGCCUAGGACUAGGAGGAUGGUCCAAUGCAGAGUAGCUAGCAUCUAGGCUGCUGCUGCUGCUCAAGGUGCAGUCAAACACGCAGGUAGAGAGAGAAAUGCAUUGGGGUAGUACAUGCACAGCCAGGUGCAGAUCGAUGCAUGGGACAUCGGUGAUAAUUAAGCUCUCUCUGAAUCUGAUGAAGCUUAUGCGCGCGCGCGCACACACCUUGCCUUUGCAAUCUGUUCUUGGGGAUCCCCUGCUUCGAUGACUCAUAUCUGUGUCAUUUCCUAAAGCCCUUCUUUUUCAUGACAAAAAUUACAGCAACAGGGGUCGAUUUGGCCUUGUUCACUUCAGUUUGUCUGUGUUUUUUAUGGUGACUUGUGUGUGCUUUGUCAUAAUUCUGAAGAUGUUGUAU
rnacentral:lncRNA from 1 species